UAUUUUAAAGUAAAUUACUUCUUUAAUAUCUUCAAUAUUAUGCUCUAAAUAUAAGCUAUUAAAAU
rnacentral:tRNA from 1 species